rnacentral:ncRNA from 2 species
CGCCGCCGUGCGGGAGAGUUCCGGGUAACCCCGGACGCCGAAGGAGCAGCACCUCUCCGUCAAUCUCUCAGGCAAAAGGACCGUACGGGCUUC